CCCGACUGCUAUUUGGGUGAGGAUAAGCCAUGCGGGUUGAAUGGGAAACCUAAAGUUCCCAUGGCAAACUGCUCAGUAACACAUGAUCAACUUACCCUAUAGAGAAAAAUAACCUCGGGAAACUGAGGAUAAUGUUUCAUAGUUGAAUUGGCUUGGAAAAGUUUUUCGACGAAAGGGGUAAAAAAAAUGGUUUUUAUCUGCUAUAGGAUAGGAUCGUGUUCGAUUAUGGUUGUUGGUGAGGUAAUGGCUCACCAAGCCGAUAAUCGAUAGGGGCCGUGAGAGCGGGAGCCCCGAGAUGGGUACUGAGACAACGACCCAGGCCUUACGAGGCGCAGCAGGCGCGAAACCUCCGCAAUACACGAAAGUGUGACGGGGUUACCCAAAGUGUUCAAUUUUGAACUGUGGUAGGUGAGUAAUGUUCCCUACUAGAAAGGAGAGGGCAAGGCUGGUGCCAGCCGCCGCGGUAAAACCAGCUCUUCAAGUGGUCGGGAUAAUUAUUGGGCUUAAAGUGUCCGUAGCCGGUUUAGUAAGUUCCUGGUAAAAUCGGGUAGCUUAACUAUCUAUAUGCUAGGAAUACUACUAUACUAGAGGGCGGGAGAGGUCUGAGGUACUACAGGGGUAGGGGUGAAAUCUUAUAAUCCUUGUUGGACCACCAGUGGCGAAGGCGUCAGACUAGAACACGUCUGACGGUCAGGGACGAAAGCUGGGGUAGCGAACCGGAUUAGAUACCCGGGUAGUCCCAGCCGUAAACGAUGCACGCUAGGUGUUGGGUCGGCCACGAGCCGCCCCAGUGCCGCAGGGAAGCCAUUAAGCGUGCCGCCUGGGGAGUACGGCCGCAAGGCUGAAACUUAA
rnacentral:rRNA from 1 species